UACAAGCAUAAACGUCGAGAUCGGUUAAAAGACACCGUCCGCGCGUUCUUCUCCAAAAACUAGCCCCGCAACACAAAGAUUCUCGGCGGUAGACAACUGGAUGUUCGUAUGGGGGAAAAAAUGUCGCAGGUCCUUAAAGCCACGUCGAUAGCUGCCAUGUUACAGGAGGCAGUGAUGAGGUGAAGGAGACUGAUGCCAGACUUCAGCAGACAGACCACACCGCAAACUCCCAGCAGCCACUGUAGCCAUGCUGCACAGGGGAAAAAACAGCAAACAACAUUUAAAUAAAACACUAUUUGAAUUAUA